GCCAGUUUGGAGUGGCUGUUGCCCUCCGAAGGCAAAGGUCACACGUUCGAAUCGUGUCGGGGGCG
rnacentral:tRNA from 1 species